UACGUAGGGUGCGAGCGUUGUCCGGAUUUACUGGGCGUAAAGGGCGUGCAGGCGGUCUGUUAAGUCAGGUGUGAAAGGUCUCGGCUAAACCGAGAAAGGUCACUUGAAACUGGCAGACUAGAGUGAGAUAGAGGUUAACGGAAUUCCCGGUGUAGUGGUGAAAUGCGUAGAUAUCGGGAGGAACACCAGUGGCGAAGGCGACUACCUGGCCUGUUCUUGACGCUGAGGCGCGAAAAGCUAGGGGAGCAAACGGGG
rnacentral:rRNA from 1 species